rnacentral:snRNA from 1 species
GUGCUCACUUCAACAACACAUAUACUAAAAUUGGAAUGCUACAGACAAGAUUAGCAUGACCCCUGCACAAGGAUGGCAUGCAUAUUUGUGAAGUGUUCCAUAAUUUU